AUACGGAGGGUGCAAGCGUUAUCCGGAUUCAUUGGGUUUAAAGGGUGCGCAGGCGGACUUGUAAGUCAGUGGUGAAAUCCCGGGGCUCAACCUCGGAACUGCCAUUGAUACUGCAAGUCUUGAGUUUGGUUGAAGUGGGCGGAAUGUAGCAUGUAGCGGUGAAAUGCAUAGAUAUGCUACAGAACACCGAUCGCGAAGGCAGCCCACUAAACCAACACUGACGCUCAGGCACGAAAGCGUGGGGAGCGAACAGGAUUAGAAACCCCAGUAGUCC
rnacentral:rRNA from 1 species